UAGACGCGACCCCGUGAGGGCAAGCCAACCACAGAAAAGCCAUCUCAGUUCGGAUUGUAGUCUGCAACCCGACUACAUGAAGCUGGAAUCGCUAGUAAUCGCAGAUCAGAAUGCUGCGGUGAAUACGUUCCCGGGUCUUGUACACACCGCCCGUCACACCAUGGGAGUUGGAAAUGCCCGAAGCCAGUGACCCAACCGUAAGGAGGGAGCUGUCGAAGGUGGAGCCGAUGACUGGGGUGAAGUCGUAACAAGGUACC
rnacentral:rRNA from 1 species